GACGAACGCUGGCGGCGUGCUUAACACAUGCAAGUCGAACGGAAAGGCCCGGCUUUUGUGGGGUGCUCGAGUGGCGAACGGGUGAGUAACACGUGAGUAACCUGCCCUUGACUUUGGGAUAACUUCAGGAAACUGGGGCUAAUACCGGAUAGGAGCUCCUGCUGCAUGGUGGGGGUUGGAAAGUUUCGGCGGUUGGGGAUGGACUCGCGGCUUAUCAGCUUGUUGGUGGGGUAGUGGCUUACCAAGGCUUUGACGGGUAGCCGGCCUGAGAGGGUGACCGGCCACAUUGGGCCUGAGAUACGGCCCAGACUCCUACGGGAGGCAGCAGUGGAGAAUAUUGCACAAUGGGCGGAAGCCUGAUGCAGCAACGCCGCGUGCGGGAUGACGGCCUUCGGGUUGUAAACCGCUUUCGCCUGUGACGAAGCGUGAGUGACGGUAAUGGGUAAAGAAGCACCGGCUAACUACGUG
rnacentral:rRNA from 1 species